rnacentral:lncRNA from 1 species
AGGUUGGACGAGAUGAUCUCCAGAGGUCCCUUCCAACCUAAACGAUUCUGUGAUUCUGUGAUUCUGUGAUUAUGCCUUCCCUACAGCUCACUGCUAGCUCACUCAACUCGGGAGACACAAGAGGAUUUACACAAGGGACAAGACAGAGUGGCCCCUUACCCUGACCAUGUCCCUCAGCUGCAGGCAAAGGCAAGUCAAGGAUUAGGCUCGUGGGUCCGAAUUCUUCAGGCUCAUCUCCUGCUGCUCCCAUAUGCCCCUUCAGAAAGACUAUUCUUCAUUGCAUCCUGUCCCCCAUGGCUUGCCUAAGAGCUGAGCCUGAAUGGGCUGGCCUCGGCAUUGCUCAGAGCAACGUGCAGGUCCUCGCUGCUUGGGGACUAGGACGUGGCAGGAUUUGGCCUGUGGACUGAAGAAGCAAUGGUAAAGUGAAAAGCAGAGCGGAUUCAAUUCCAGAUGUAUUCCUGUGCCUCAGCAAGCCUUACCUUUGGAAGAUAAACUCCGUUGACACUCAUUGCUUUAAGCGAUGGUGCUGAGAAACCUGUGGACACUCAAACACCUGCUCCUGAUGAUUCUGGAUGCCUCCGUGGCCCCUGUCCUUCUUCGUCAUCUGGACUCGCCUUUCCCACCUCGGGCGUCUCGCAGGAGGAGGGGGAUCCACCACCCAGCCUUGGAAAGCUGCGCUCCCGAGCCACGCGUGUCCCCCUGAGGUGGCCGGGCCCCGCGCCCCCAGCGCCGAGAGGCCCGCGGAUCCGCAAAAUAUAAAAUGAACACACACAGAAAUAAUUAAAAAAAAAAACAAGAAAAGAAGGAAAAGAAAAGAAAACCAAAAAGCCCAAGUAGCAACAACAAAAAUCAAAGCAGAUUAUUGGAAAAGUAAAAGGUAGGUAUUUCGGCGGGACAUGCCCUUGUGAACCCGCCUGCCUGCUCCGGUCUCGCCCUGAACGCCCAGCCACGUGGAAGAGCUAACUGAAUCUCCGAAAAGUGGAGUUAAAAUUCAGCAGCAGAGCGCCGUGGGCACGGAGCAGCCCGGCCGGGGCGCCCUGCGCUCUCUGGGCCGAAACCCCCGGAAAACGGGGAGCCUGCUCCCUAGCUGCCUCUGCCUAGGCGCUGUAGUGAGACUAUUUACUGGGGCCGCUUCCCCCAGAUAACGGAGCAAAUCUUGCAACAGCAAAGACUGAGACUCCCUCCUCUCCCCUGACACCCAGGCUGCUCUUCGCGCCGGUGAGAAAGCUCUCAGCUCGCCCUCCCUGCGGCAGCAGCCGGCUUUGGGGAGGCUGGGGCAGGGUGCGGGGCUCGGAGAAGGACAGGAGAGUGAUUGACAGGCGCCCAAGGAGGGGGCGGGAGGGGUCUCAGAGCAGAGGGUCGCCUGUAUUUGUUACUUGUUGAAAUUCCCAUAAAAUUGAACAAGACCCCGCUCUCAUAGGGGUUAAGUCGGGCUAAAAUCCUCUUCGGUGUGGUCCAGCCCAGACUGUCUUUGUUUGCUUAACCUCCGGGACCCACGUUUAAAAAGGCUAUUUGGAAAAUUUCCCCAUAAGAGCCCAACAUCUUUUACCCAUUUUUGUGCUAGGAUUUUUCUAAGCAGACAUUGUCUGUAAUCACCGGCCGAGGAGGGGCCGGAGAAAGAGCCCAGAAAACUCUUUCUCCUCCGGUUGCAGAAAUACGCUGGAUCUCCUUUAAUCUCUUUCACAUUUUUAAAGAUUAGCGGGUUUUUCCCCCUCAGCCCGCAGGGCUUUGCAGAUAAUAUUUAACACCUUUUUCGAUUGCUCC